CCUACGGGAGACAGCAGUGAGGAAUAUUGGUCAAUGGACGAGAGUCUGAACCAGCCAAGUAGCGUGAAGGAUGACUGCCCUAUGUGUUGUAAACUUCUUUUAUAAAGGAAUAAAACGAGGCACGUGUGCCCUUUUGCAUGUACUUUAUGAAUAAGCAUCGGCUAACUCCGUGCCAGCAGCCGCGGUAAUACGGAGGAUCCGAGCGUUAUCCGGAUUUAUUGGGUUUAAAGGGAGCGUAGAUGGGUUGGUAAGUCAGUUGUGAAAGUCUGCGGCUCAACCGUAAAAUUGCAGUUGAUACUGGCAGUCUUGAGUACAGUUGAGGUAGGCGGAAUUCGUGGUGUAGCGGUGAAAUGCUUAGAUAUCACGAAGAACCCCGAUUGCGAAGGCAGCUUACUAAACUGUGACUGACAUUGAUGCUCGAAAGUGUGGGUAUCAAACAGGAUUAGAUACCCCUGUAGUC
rnacentral:rRNA from 1 species